rnacentral:rRNA from 1 species
UUCCGUAGGUGGAACCCUGCGGAAGGAUCAUU